CAGUAGCCGCGGGAAUACAGAGGGUGCGAGCGUUAAUCGGAUUUACUGGGCGUAAAGCGUGCGUAGGCGGCUUUUUAAGUCGGAUGUGAAAUCCCUGAGCUUAACUUAGGAAUUGCAUUCGAUACUGGGAAGCUAGAGUAUGGGAGAGGAUGGUAGAAUUCCAGGUGUAGCGGUGAAAUGCGAAGAGAUCUGGAGGAAUACCGAUGGCGAAGGCAGCCAUCUGGCCUAAUACUGACGCUGAGGUACGAAAGCAUGGGGAGCAAACAGGAUUAGAUACCCGAGUAGUCCCUGUCUCUUAUAC
rnacentral:rRNA from 1 species